AGUACCAUUCGGUGUGUGAAUGUUAGUUAGCCUUAGAUGCAAAUCUACGCAAUGACAGAACUGAACUGAAGGGUUCAGCCAGCCUGCUUAUAUAGAGCUCCAGUACAAUGUAACUGUAACAAUUUUCUAAAACUAUCCAAUCACUGAACGUCACUUUCAAUCCCUUAUUUGCAUAAUUUUCUGCAGUAUCCCCCUGCUGGCCCAGGGUGAGAACUUCAGUACAUAACACUUACUUUUAAGGUACUGUCACUAAGCGUGGAUGCCUUCAGUAUGAAAUCCAUGUCCUCCAGAUCAUCGGACCUCAACCGUUUCCGUCUCUGCCGGCUCUGGAACACCUUCCAUACAGACAGCCCCACCAACGCAGCGAGAACCAGAAAAGCGAAGAGGGGGACCAGGGUCAUCAGAAGGAGGUUCUGAAGAGAAGGACUCUCUUCUUCAGGCUGAUUUUCUUCACCUGGUUGUAAAUAAAGGAAACUCAGUUAUUGUCACUUCUCUAAUGGUGAGGAUUCCCCUUGGCAUUGUCACUUUUCAUUUCUUAGUACAGAAAGUAUUAUUUCAAAAUAAUUUUUAAAAUUGAUUUUCUUUUCUCAUAACAAAUAUCCAAUAUCAUUACAAAAUAUUCAUUUUCCAAUUUCCCCCUCCCUGUUGACUUCCCUCAGCUUCCAUUUCUGGUUUAUUACAUCAAAUGAUACAUUCUGCUGUUUGUAUAUAAUACUGUGUUAUCAUAUUGUUAUACUUCUUGUUCUCUAUGAAUAAAAUGGUAAAUGUUUAUUUAAA